rnacentral:rRNA from 1 species
CCGGGCGCACGGGUGAGUAACACGUAUGGAACCUGCCCUAUGCAGGGGGAUAAGCGGAAGAAAUUCCGUCUAAUACCGCAUAACACCUUUAGGAGACAUCUUCUUGGGGGUCAAAGGAGGCGACUCCGGCAUAGGAUGGCCAUGCGUCGCAUUAGCUAGUCGGCGGGGUAACGGCCCACCGAGGCGACGAUGCGUAGGGGUUCUGAGAGGAAGGUCCCCCACACUGGUACUGAGACACGGACCAGACUCCUACGGAAGGCAGCAG